AGCGAACGCUGGCGGCAGGCCUAACACAUGCAAGUCGAGCGCUCGUAGCAAUACGAGAGCGGCAGACGGGAGAGUAACACGUGGGAACGUACCCUUUGGUUCGGAACAACACAGGGAAACUUGUGCUAAUACCGAAUAAGCCCUUACGGGAAAGAUUAUCGCCAAAGGAUCGGCCCGCGUCUGAUUAGCUAGUUGGUGGGGUAACGGCGUCACCAAGGCGACGAUCAGUAGCUGGCUGAGAGGAUGACCAGCCUCA
rnacentral:rRNA from 1 species